GGGCCUGUAGCUCAGCGGUUAGAGCCGCGGACUCAUAAUCCGUAGGUCGCAGGUUCGAAUCCUGCCGGGCCCACCA
rnacentral:tRNA from 1 species